GCACGUCGCGCCCGCCGCCCCCGGACCCCGCAGGUGAGCCCCGCCCCGCGCCCGGGCCGCCAAUCGCCGCGCCCCACGUCACAAGGGAGGGAGGGGCCAGCCACGCCCCUCGGCGCACCUGCACCUGGGCGGCCGCGCCCCUCCGGCUGCUGCCGGCCCGUGUCCGGCGCCAUCGGGUCCUGCUGCCGGGGUUUGCUGGGGGGAUCCCCGCGGGAAGAAGGCGCCCCCGAAGCAGCACUCCGGGAUCCCGGCGGUGGGGCCGGCGGAGGGGAGACAACGGCAAGGGGGCGCGGGGGGGGGGCAGCGCGUAACUACUACUACUACUACUACUUGGCGAUCCCUCGUAGCCUAGUAAGAUUGUCUUCCCUGAACAGGGUCUUAACAGUGAGUCCUCAAGAGACUGGCAGGCAUGUCCAAAGUUCCUUUCCGGGGCCUAAUCCGGCCCGCCCGUCGGUUUCAUUCGGCCCCUCUGGCAGUUUAUUUCCUGGGGUAAAAUCCUCAACAACUUCAAUCCUACAAAAAGCUCGACAACUUUGCUUGGCCCUUUGGUCAGCCCUCCCGGCCCUUCUCUUCAUCCAAUCUGGCCCUCUUUGGGAAAAGGUUGGACGCCACUGGACUAUGGCGUCUCCGGGAAAUUCCGGAAAUAUGGCAGUCCUCAUUUAUAUGCUGGUUGUCAGUUUAUUUUUUCAACCUGGGUCAUAUUCCACUUUGGAGAUGGGUUUCCCAUCUGGCUAUGGUGAGUCUGAUUUUUCUUCUCCUUCUUUGGCAAUCUUCUUUAGCCAAGUAAGAUUGUCUUCCAUGAACACGGUUUUAACAGUGAGUCCGUAAGUGACUUUGGAGGCCAAUUCUGCAUCCCCACGUCCUUCCACAGUGGGGACAUUGGUUUCCAGGCGGGAGCUGAUCACUGUGUGGAUUUGCCAAGCGCACCUUCCUCUUAGCACACUUCUCCCUUAUGUCCUGAGUUCGAGUGUCUUCAAAGCCCAGGGCACCUUUGGUCAAGGCUGUUCUCCAACUGGAGCGCUCGCAGGCACCAGUGUUUCCCAAUUGUUGGUGUUUAUACUACAUUUUUAAAGAUUUGCCUUGAGAAAAUCUUAAAACCUCUUUUGUUGACCACCAGCAUUACGCUUUCCAUUUUUAAGUUCAGAAUAGAGUAGUUGUUUUGAAAGAAAAUAAUCAGGCAUCCAGACAACAUGACCAGUCCAACGAAGCUGAUGUUGAAGAAUCAUUGCUUCAACACUGGUGAUCUUUGCUUCAUCCAGUAUACUGGCAUUAGUUCUCCUGUCAUCCCAAGUGAUGUGUAAAUUUUUCGGAGACACCGUUGAUGCAAUCUUUUGAGGAGUUGGAGAUGGCGUUUGUAAGUGCUCCGUGUUUCACAAGCAUACAGUGCCACCACGUGGCUUGGAGAGAGUGGAGGGGAGCGUUGCUGUCCCUCUCUCAAAACCGCAGGAGGCCGUGGGGUCGGACAUUGGAGCUGGAUGCCAACAGGGCUGAGGAAAAGGAAUUAAACUGCAGAACUCACUGCCACAGGAUGCAGGGACGGCAGCCCACUGGGGUGGGGGGGGACAAAUUCAGGGAGGAAGAGAAGGCUAUCAAUGACUGCUGGCCAAGAUGGCUUGCCUCUGGCUCCAGGGUCCUUGGAGGCAGCAGUUCUUCUGAAGGCCGGCUGCCAUGAUCCACGGGGCGGGGUGGGGGGGUGGGGGACUGGGACUGACUGGCUGUAAUGGGAAAGUCUUGCUUCCAGACUUCCCAUUAGGGCACCUGGCUUAGAUGUUUCGAUUAUUUACAUUUCACAUUUCGGGAACAAGGCCAGAUUUAGAUUUUAUGAGGCCCUCAGCUCCUGAAGGUAAUGGGGUCCUUUCUAAGUCCAGCUGUCCUUUGCCAACAACAAAUUGUCAGUGUUUUUGGUGUUGAAUAUAUGCUAGAUGGUCAUUGAUGGCCCUAAGCUAUUUGCACAUAAUAGAUAGGAGCCUACACAGCACAAAACACUUUUGCUGUAUGUAGGUUUUAUUUUAUUUGUUUUUUAUCUUAUAUUUCAGAAAUGUACAUCCAGGUGUUUUUUCCUUUAAUUUUUUGGGGCCCCCCCAAGAGAGUGGGGCCCUAAGCUAUACAGUGGUACCUCUGGUUACAAACACUUCUGGUUAUGAACGCUUCAGGUUACGAGCUCCGCUAACCCGGAAGUAGCUGCUUCUGGUUGCGAACUUUGCCCCAGGAUGUGAAUGGAAAUCGCGAGUCGGAGAUCUCAUUAGCGAAAGCAUGCCUCAGGAUAAGAACUGUUUUAGCUUAAGAACGGACCUCCAGAAUGAAUUAAGUUUGUAACCAGAGGGACCACUGUAGCUUGUUUAGCUUAUACGUAAAUCUAGCACUUUUUGGGAUACAGAUCUUUCCCAGGUGGCUUCAAACAGCAAAGAGGUCUCCACGAAAUCUUAAUAACUGUAUCUAGAGCAAGGGGUCAGCAUCCUGGGGCAGUUGGCGCUAGAAGGUCCUGUUUUGGGGCAGGGGGAAAUCCUGGUGUCCUCCUCUUCUUGGUCACCUCCCUCUCCUCCCUUCCUCUGAUGGUGUUUUGCUUCUAUGGAAAGCACUUUGGACAAAGUGCUUUUGCAAAUGAAAGGAACAAUUGAACAGAAGAGAGGGGGAAAUUCAGCUUGGAGGGCCCCCUGCCCCCAAUAGGAUAAGAAGGACCACGGCAGAGAGGGAGGGAGGGAGGGAGUUGGCUGGGCCUAAAGAUUUUGGUCUGUGGUUCAGAGGAAUUAUGCCAGAAUGACGCCGCAAUGUCAGGGAAAUGCCAAAAGCCCCUUCGGAGUUUCUGCCUGUUGUGUUGAUUCCCAGGGCUGGAGGUCCAAGAAGAGGAUUUCCCCUUUUGGAACUGGUAAGUGGUGACCCUUCCCUGUGGAAACGCAGGAAGCUGCCUUGCACCAGACGUGGCCCAAAGGACAGCAGAGCAGGACACUGGCCAUCGUCUGGGCUGCAGGAGUUGCCAGAAGGAGGCGUACCGAGUGCAACCCAAUCAGGCUGGGUGCAAAUAAUAAAAUUAGCAGAAUGAAAGACAAUACAAGAAACGUAAUUAAUUUAAUAGAGUAUUUGGAAGUAAGAAAGGAAAAAUAGGCUGCAUUGAUCAUUCUAGAUGCGGAGAAAGCUUUUGACAAUAUUUUGUGGUCAUUUAUGAACAAGGUUUUAGAGAAAAUGGAAAUAGGUAAUUCUUUCCUAGCAGGAAUUAAAGCAAUCUAUGCAGAUCAAUCUGCAAAUAUAUUAAUAAAUAAUAUUUUUUCAGACAAAUGCCAAAUAGAAAAAGGAACGAGACCAGGCUGUCCCCUGUAUCCACUGUUGUUUAUUAUGACAUUAGAAAUAUAAGGAGAAAUAGGAAAAUUAAAGGUCUUGAGGUGGGACGUGGAGUUUAUAAAUUAAGAACAUUUGCUGAUGAUGUGGUGCUGACACUAGAACAACCUUGGGAGAGUGUUCCCAAAGCAUUAGAAGAAAUUAAAAGGUUUGGAGAAGUG
rnacentral:lncRNA from 1 species